rnacentral:tRNA from 1 species
GGCCCCGUCAUCUAGCCUGGUUCAGGAUAGCGGGCUUUCAUCCCGCACACAUGGGUUCAAAUCCCAUCGGGGUCA